ACAGGCAUUUUAAGUGCACAUACAUAAAUUUUAAGAAAUGGGAAUCAGAAGUACUGUAGGAUCUAUGAGUAUCCAGAAGUCCAAGAACUUUCUGUUGGAUGGAUGAUUCAGAUGGAAAAGACUGCGGAAAAAAGAAACAAACUAUAGCCACACAGAUUAAUCAACAUAAAGAAUGACUCGCAGCACUGUGAAUCAUCCCCAGCACCAUACAAAAGAAGGCCGAGUGACUGGUACAUACUCCCCCAGACAAUUUUGAAAAUAACAGCAUCAACUGUUGCCAGAUCUCAUCUGUAGGAAAAAUUGUGGCUUGCCUUUUAUACUGAAAGUUCUGGAUAAUUUCACCUUUCUUUCCUAGCUCAUUUAACUUCUCUUCUGUUGCCUCAUUUGCCUAAUAUGUUCAUCACAGAACUACAGAAAUAUAUAAAAGGUUAUAUAGAAGAAAUACAAAGAAAAUGACAGAAAUAAGUCUUCUAAAAUAAGUUGCAUAUAUUUGAAGACUGGGAGGUACCACAUUAGGGCAAAGAUGGAAUGGAGCUUAUCUUUAAUGAAUCAUGUAUUGACAACAAUGAGAGACUGGAGUUUAAUAGCUCCUGAAGACUUAAGUACAGGUUUGGGAAUAGAAACUCCAAAUUAUUCAAAUACAAGCUCUUUCUGCAGUUUUUGACAUGCAACUUCCAACUCCUUUGACUCAAUCUUUCUCAGUGUUUAAUUCUUAUGAUUUUUUUUUUAAAGAUUGAAUAUUACAUUUUAUUACUGAAGAAACAGGAGUCACUUUGUGAUGCGACUUG